rnacentral:rRNA from 1 species
UACGUAGGCAGCAAGCGUUGUUCGGAAUUACUGGGCGUAAAGCGAGUGUAGGCGGUCUGCCAAGUCCUCUGUGAAAUCUCCCGGCUCAACUGGGAGGGUGCGGCGGAAACUGGCAGGCUUGAGUGCGGGAGAGGAGAGUGGAAUUCCUGGUGUAGCGGUGAAAUGCGUAGAUAUCAGGAGGAACACCGGUGGUGAAGACGGCUCUCUGGACCGCAACUGACGCUGAGACUCGAAAGCGUGGGGAGCAAACAGG